UACGGGGGGAGCAAGCGUUGUUCGGAUUUACUGGGCGUAAAGGGCGCGUAGGCGGUCGAGACAAGUCGCUUGGGAAAUCUCCGGGCUUAACUCGGAACGGUCAAGUGAUACUGUCGGACUAGAGUACAGAAGGGGCAACUGGAAUUCUCGGUGUAGCGGUGAAAUGCGUAGAUAUCGAGAGGAACACCUGCGGCGAAGGCGGGUUGCUGGGCUGAUACUGACGCUGAGGCGCGAAAGCCAGGGGAGCGAACGGG
rnacentral:rRNA from 1 species